UAAUACGGAGGGUGCAAGCGUUAUCCGGAUUUACUGGGUUUAAAGGGUGCGUAGGUGGGUUGGUAAGUCAGUGGUGAAAUACUUUCGCUUAACGAAGGAACUGCCAUUGAUACUACCAGUCUUGAAUACAGUGGAGGUAGGCGGAAUGCGUCAUGUAGCGGUGAAAUGCUUAGAUAUGACGCAGAACACCAAUUGCGAAGGCAGCUUGCUACACUGUUAUUGACACUGAGGCACGAAAGCGUGGGGAUCAAACAGGAUUAGAUACCCUGGUAGUCCACGCCCUAAACGAUGAUUACUCGAUCUCAGCGAUACACUGUUGGGGUCUAUGUGAAAGCAUUAAGUAAUCCACCUGGGGAGUACGAUCGCAAGAUUG
rnacentral:rRNA from 1 species